AGCGAACGCUGGCGGCGUGCCUAACACAUGCAAGUCGAACGUGAAAAGGGAAACCUGAGUAAAGUGGCGUACGGGUGAGUAACGCGUAGGUAAUCUACCCCAGAAUCUGGAAUAACCUGCCGAAAGGCGGGCUAAUACUGGAUAGAGCGAGGGAACUCGUAAGAGAGUUUUUCGGGAAAGGGAGCCCGCAAGGGCCUUCGUUCUGGGAUGAGCCUGCGUCUCAUUAGCUAGUUGGUAAGGUAACGGCUUACCAAGGCGAUGAUGAGUAGCUGGUCUGAGAGGAUGAUCAGCCACACUGGAACUGAAACACGGUCCAGACUCCUACGGGAGGCAGCAGUGGGGAAUCUUGCGCAUUGGACGAAAGUCUGACGCAGCCACGCCGCGUGAGUGAAGAAGGCCUUCGGGUUGUAAAGCUCUGUCGGAUGGGACGAACAUCUUCAUAGUGAAUAGCUAUGAGGACUGACGGUACCAUCAAAGGAAGCACCGGCUAACUCCGUG
rnacentral:rRNA from 1 species